UUGGUUUAUAUAUCUUUAUAUAUUAUUAUUAUAACAACAUCGGGUUCGUUUAAAUGGGCCGAAGUGGGCUCAAUAUAUGCUCUUUGAGUUCCCUAGAAAAAGUGCGCCAAUAUGGCUAGAAUGACCUACUGCUGAAACAGUUACAAGAUCAAAAUUUCAAUGCACCAAACAUGAUAGGGGUCUGCUCACAAAACAGCAGAUAAUCUAAACUGGUAUGGAAUGAACUAUUUGCUAAAAACAUACACAGAUCCACCUUGAUAGGCAAUGGACAAUAUACCUUGCAAAAAAUGACUUAAAUGAUCACUUUUGGAUCAUACAAAUGCCUUUGUUCAGACCAGCAUGCUUAUCAAUGUGUCUUGUGUUCGUGAUUGUGGCAUCACAUUGUCACUUCCAACUUGAGAGGCUGUGCUGAUGUCCACCCCUGCAGAGUUGUAAGGAAAAUAUAUGGUCAACAUGAUUUGAACUGCAUGUGCUUAUGUAAUAUAUGGGGAAAAAACAGAAACUAGAAAUGUCGCCCAAUUUUCAGCCUGGCAAUAAUUAACUAUUUCAAAAGAUUGUUGUAUUCAAGGAUACAGAUACUUGGAAAGCCACUCUGUGCAUGCCAAAAGCUCUUGAUGUAUUAGAACUCAGGGGUCGUGUAAUCUAGGAAAAGCCCUUUCUGAAUCCACCCCAUAGGAAUCUCCAAUUAAUCUAACAGAUUCAAAUAGCCAGAGAAAAAAAGUUCCAUGCAUCUUUAGUUAGCGUCCAACUUGGACAGACUAAAGGUCAGCAUUGGUUAGUGACCAAAUGCGCGAGUGGGCUGAGAACGAAAUAGCAGCAUAUAAACGCCACUAAUAACAGAGGUGUCUCAGGUCCGGGGCAAUCCCCCUUUUCGAAAAACAGAGGUGUCUCAGGUGGUACAACCUUCCAUGAAUGAGGAAACCAUGAAGUAUCAGAGCGGGCAUUCUGAUGGCAACUUCAGGCGGCUGAGAGCAAGCCUGGAGCAACAAUUUACAUAUUCUCCCAAUAAACCAAAAGCAAUUAUCAUUGACGACAAGACAGCCACUCAGAAUCGCAACCACUGAUUUCACAAACGAGAAUACAAUUGCUGCAACACCUACUUGAUGGCUGUAAGCCUGCAACUGACCCAAAUCCCCUCGAACUAUGCCCAAACUGAUGCACUGUUCAUGUUUUUUCCCCUUUGGUGUUACCUUCCUCGAGUGCAAAACCCAACGACCAGCAACUCGAAGAAGAGCCAUUUACAUGUUGCACAUGCGCACCUACACGUACAGAAACGAAGAAGGUACCAAUGGGUCAAUACACCAAGCAGGUGCUGGGCAUGGGAUGAUGGGAGGCAGCUCAGGCGCACAGAAACGCAGGCAAAGACGCCAAUGGCGAAUGGCGAAUCAAGUGGCAGUUACGUAAAUCACACCGUCCCUGCGCACGACCAAGCCAGGCACGCGAAACCACCCCAAAAACUGCAGCCACGCAAGUUCCCCAUCCCCACCGUCUGCUCCGCCGGUUCCAAAAGCCGAAACCUCCGAACCCGACGAGCCCUCCUCGCGGAAACCCCACCGGCCGCCGAUCACCUUAGCGGCCAGAGGCAUCCGACAAAGCGCAUUAACACGGACAAGCUGGAGACGAAUCGGAAACACCGGAGCAGCGCGAGCGACUCACCCCCACCAGGAACAGACACUCGAUGCGUUCAACGCUCCCGGCGCCGGCUCCUCCCCCAUUUCCUCCGCUGCACCAGCCAUGAACCGGCGAUCGGACCCCUCUCGCGGCGGCGGCGGCGGCGGCGGUGGCGAUGACUCUCAAAUGGGAUCGGAGAAAAUUUUGCGGCGGUUUGGUUUUGAGUUGGGCUGGUUUAGCGCGAAACCGGCGGAUGACCGGAUUCUACUUCUCG
rnacentral:lncRNA from 1 species